CUCGAGGACAGAAUGUCACCUGAAUGAGCUACUCCCUACACUAAGCAGAAGGUGACUGGACAAUUUACAUCUGCACACUUAUCAGAAGGAAGGCUGAAGAAUCAUAUUUAUUGGGUUCUCCACAGCCACAGGCCUGUGUUUAGUCCCAUGGUGCAGGAGGACCACAAGUGGAAGCACAGCCUGGUGAGCCCCAGCAAGCAGAUCCUAACCCUGAGACACAGAGCCCUGCUCAGCCCAACACUGUGGCAACAAAGGUGCUCAUCAGUACAGACACCUGACCAUCUGAGUGGUCAGAAGGUCACUCAGCCUGACCAAAGUGACCCAACCCCUGCCCAGUGCACCCCCAAACACGAGGAAAACGGGGCUGG